UACGUAGGGUGCAAGCGUUGUCCGGAAUUAUUGGGCGUAAAGAGCUCGUAGGCGGUUUGUCGCGUCUGCUGUGAAAACUCGGGGCUUAACUCCGGGCCUGCAGUGGGUACGGGCAGACUAGAGUGCGGUAGGGGAGACUGGAAUUCCUGGUGUAGCGGUGAAAAUGCGCAGAUAUCAGGAGGAACACCGGUGGCGAAGGCGGGUCUCUGGGCCGUAACUGACGCUGAGGCACGAAGGUCAGGGGAGCAAACGGG
rnacentral:rRNA from 1 species